rnacentral:lncRNA from 1 species
GGAAUGCACAACAAUACAGAUUAUUUCCAGACAAUUUCUUCGGUUGUUUGUGAAUUUUUAUGUAGACCUUUUUUGGAAGUACAUACUAGACGUGACCGCAGUAAAUUAAAAUCGUUGCUCAGCGAAACUCCAUAUGUGGUCGACCUGAAACAGGAAAGAUGUGGCCAGAGGUUAGAGAGGCAGACCAGUAUCCGGAAAGUUGUGGACAAACUCGGAACUGCUGAGGGCUGCUGUGUCCGAUCCUGGGAACCAUCACCUGCCAUUGUGCCCUUGAGCAAGUCUCUUUACCCCUAAAAACUGCUCUCGAUCCAGGAGUGCUGCUACCUGGUGGCUAACCCUGUGCCUCUCCAAGUGUGUGUGUAUUUGUUGGGGUAGAGAUAGACGCAUUUCUGUUUCUCACAAAAGUUAUUCUAGUCUAUUCAGAGGACUCAUCCCAUUCACUUCUUAGGUAAUAUGCACAAAAUAAUUCAAUCGUUAGAAUAUACCUCAUGGUAAUAUAGGCCUAUAGGUCUCCAAUGAAUAGACCUAUAACAAUUAAAUAAACCUUCAUUAUUUUGGAUUGAUUGAUUACUUACGAUAUGCAACAAUAGCCUACCUACACUUUAAGUAUCCGGCUACAAAUUAUACCCGGCCCCCACAAUGAUAGGAAUGAAUGUCUUGUUGCGUGUGGCGGUGCUGAUUCUACUGCAAGCGUCAAGGGAAUCGUACAUUCCCUCAUUCACCACAGAGCGGCGCCAUUUUACCACAAUACGCGCGUUGUUCAGGUGCGUGCACCAUCCACAUACCCUACAGAGCUUAGUCGUUUUAUUAAGUAAAUGCAUGUUGUAUUGUUUCAAUGCGUUUUGGUGAGGUUUAACGUGCCUGUUGUUGACGAACAAAUCAUCGAGUUUAAUAAAGUACUUUCCAUAGAGUUUCACCGUGGUAAGAGACGUGUCUAAUAAUGAAUUUGAUGCAGAAAUGUUAAUCGUUAUGAUGUAGACCUUGCUGUAAUUUUUAAAUGAACAUAGGCCUACAAAUGAAGGAUCUAAGGACUCUUCUGAACAGAUAUAUUUUAUACAUUGAACAUAUAGGCCUGUCGACUCACAAUAUGGAGUAAAAACAAAAAAAAACACUUUGUUUUAUGGCACAUGUGAGUGACUGG